UCAGCUUGUUUGUGCCGUGACACAGGGAUGGGAGAGAUGGGCCAGGAGGAGGAGCUAUGAGACACAUACAGGGGGGAGCUAUGAGACACAUACAGGGAGGAGCCAGGGAAACUGGUCACAAUACAGACGAAGAUAUGAGACACAUACAGGGAGGAGCCAGUGAAUUUGGUCACAAUACUGAGGAAGAUAUGAGACACAUACAGGGAGGAGCCAGGGAAGCUGGUCACAAUACUGAGGAAGAUAUGAGACACAUACAGGGAGGAGCCAGUGAAUUUGGUCACAAUACUGAGGAAGAUAUGAGACACAUACAGGGAGGAGCCAGGAAUCUGGUCACAAUACUGAGGAAGAUAUGAGACACAUACAGGGAGGAGCCAGGGAAUCUGGUCACAAUACUGACGAAGAUAUGAGACACAUACAGGGAGGAGCCAGGGAAUCUGGUCACAAUACUGAGGAAGUAGGCAGAUAUGAGGCACAUUUUAUUACCAUGUGUAGACGCAACAUAUCUCGAUGAGAUAGUGAUCGGAUCAUCUUGAUUGGAUGACAACAACCUUGUGUUAAUGUACCACUAAAGACAACAACUCUUCUUCUCAGCAAAACCUUUAUCUGAUGAUUAAGCAGCAUGAUGAAAUCAGCAAUAACCAAAUAGCACCAUUUUCCCUAUAUAGUGCACUACUUCAGACCAGAGCCCUAUUCCCUAUAUAGUGCACUACUUCAGACCAGAGCCCUAUUCCCUAUAUAGUGCACUACUUCAGACCAGAGCCCUAUUCCCUAUAUAGUGCACUACUUUAGACCAGAGCCCUAUUCCCUAUAUAGUGCACUACUUUAGACUAGAGCCCUAUUCCCUAUAUAGUGCACUACUUUAGACCAGAGCCCUAUUCCCUAUAUAGUGCACUUCUUUAGACCAGAGCCCUAUUCCCUAUAUAGUGCACUACUUUAGACUAGAGCCCUAUUCCCUAUAUAGUGCACUUCAUUAGACCAGGGCCCUAUUCCCUAUAUAGGGCACUACAUUAGACCAGAGCCCUAUUCCCUAUAUAGUACACUACAUUAGACCAGAGUAUAGUGCACUACUUUAGACCAGAGCCCUAUCCCUAUAUAGUGCACUACAUUAGACCAGAGCCCUAUUCCCUAUAUAGUGCACUACUUUAGACCAGGGGCCUAUUCCGUAUAUAGUGCACUACAUUAGACCAGAGCCCUAUUCCUAUAUAGUGCACUACUUUAGACCAGAGGCCUAUUCCGUAUAUAGUGCACUACAUUAGACCAGAGCCCUAUUCCCUAUAUAGUGCACUACAUUAGACCAGAGCCCUAUUCCCUAUAUAGUGCACUACAUUAGACCAGAGCCCUAUUCCCUAUAUAGUGCACUACUUUAGACCAGAGCCCUAUUCCCUAUAUAGUGCACUACAUUAGACCAGAGCCCUAUUCCCUAUAUAGUGCACUACUUUAGACCAGAGCCCUAUUCCCUAUAUAGUGCACUACUUUAGACCAGAGCCCUAUUCCCUAUAUAGUGCACUACUUUAGACCAGAGCCCUAUUCCCUAUAUAGUGCACUACUUUAGACCAGAGCCCUAUUCCCUAUAUAGGGCACUACAUUAGACUAGGGCUCCUAGGGGGCUGUUUGAAACCAUGUCAACCUUUACAAGAGCUGAGAUCAAGUGUUCACCUCCCCUCCCACUUCGUUUUAUCUCUACUUCCUGUUCUCUCUCUCUCUCUCACACACACACACACACACACACACACACACACGCUUAUAUACAGGCACUGAGUAAUCAACAGGACAUCUAGGUUACAUGUGUACGUGCAUAUGUGUGUGUGUGUUCUCUCUGUUGUCUGAACUGAUGACCCCUGUCAACCCCCAGUGUGAACAUUUAG
ensembl:lncRNA